rnacentral:miRNA from 1 species
UGGGAUUUGUGUAUGUGAUUGC